AUUGAACGCUGGCGGCAGGCCUAACACAUGCAAGUCGAGCGGAUGAAGGGAGCUUGCUCCUGGAUUCAGCGGCGGACGGGUGAGUAAUGCCUAGGAAUCUGCCUGGUAGUGGGGGAUAACGUCCGGAAACGGGCGCUAAUACCGCAUACGUCCUGAGGGAGAAAGUGGGGGAUCUUCGGACCUCACGCUAUCAGAUGAGCCUAGGUCGGAUUAGCUAGUUGGUGAGGUAAAGGCCUACCAAGGCGACGAUCCGUAACUGGUCUGAGAGGAUGAUCAGUCACACUGGAACUGAGACACGGUCCAGACUCCUACGGGAGGCAGCAGUGGGGAAUAUUGGACAAUGGGCGAAAGCCUGAUCCAGCCAUGCCGCGUGUGUGAAGAAGGUCUUCGGAUUGUAAAGCACUUUAAGUUGGGAGGAAGGGCAGUAAGUUAAUACCUUGCUGUUUUGACGUUACCAACAGAGUAAGCACCGGCUAACUUCGUG
rnacentral:rRNA from 1 species